rnacentral:tmRNA from 1 species
CCAAAUAAAUUUUAAUAGCGUAUAAUCUUCGUGUUGGUUUUUACCAACUAUAGCAAUAAACGAAGCGUGGAAUAAGCGUAGCGGACCCGGGGGCAGUACCCGGCGCCUCCACCACUUUGACCAGUCUGUCUUUCGGGGGGCGAACCAGGAUCGACGCGCGUAAUAAAGACGCUUUUUUUGCUCGGUAUGGUACCGCCGUUAUCGGGCUUUUAUAAUAGUUGCAAACGACAACUAUGCGGAGGCACGCCUCGCUGCAUAAGCAGUCGGGCAAGCCCAACUAAACUCCAUGUGGUUCGCACCGCAUGGCGGGGUUCGGGGUGCACCUGGCAACAGAAGCACCUCA